rnacentral:rRNA from 1 species
GAUGAACGCAGGCGGCGUGCCUAACACAUGCAAGUCGAACGAGAUGCGUAUCGGAAAGCUUCGGCCGGAAGAUACGUUAUCUAGUGGCGGACGGGUGAGUAACACGUGGGUAACCUGCCUUAUGGAGGGGGAUAACAGAGAGAAAUCACUGCUAAUACCGCAUAAGCACACAUUGCCGCAUGGCAGAGUGUGAAAAGAUUUAUCGCCAUAAGAUGGACCCGCGUCUGAUUAGCCAGUUGGCAGGGUAAAAGCCUACCAAAGCAACGAUCAGUAGCCGAUCUGAGAGGAUGACCGGCCACAUUGGGACUGAGACACGGCCCAAACUCCUACGGGAGGCAGCAGUGGGGAAUAUUGCACAAUGGGGGAAACCCUGAUGCAGCGACGCCGCGUGAGUGAAGAAGUAUUUCGGUAUGUAAAGCUCUAUCAGCAGGGAAGAUAAUGACAGUACCUGACUAAGAAGCCCCGGCUAACUACGUGCCAGCAGCCGCGGUAAUACGUAGGGGGCAAGCGUUAUCCGGAUUUACUGGGUGUAAAGGGAGCGUAGACGGGGUGGCAAGUCUGAAGUGAAAACCCUGGGCUUAACCUGGGGACUGCUUUGGAAACUGUUAAUCUAGAGUGUUGGAGAGGUAAGUGGAAUUCCUGGUGUAGCGGUGAAAUGCGUAGAUAUCAGGAAGAACACCGGAGGCGAAGGCGGCUUACUGGACAAUAACUGACGUUGAGGCUCGAAAGCGUGGGGAUCAAACAGG